GUGUCAGCAGCCGCGGUAAUACGAACCGUCCAAACGUUAUUCGGAAUCACUGGGCUUACAGAGUUCGUAGGCGGCGGAGAAAGUAGGGUGUGAAAGCCCUCGGCUUAACCGAGGAAUAGCGCCCUAAACUACUUCGCUUGAGGAGGCUAGAGGUGAGCAGAACAGAUGGUGGAGCGGUGAAAUGCGUUGAUAUCAUCUGGAAUACCGGAGGCGAAGGCGGCUCACUGGGACCUUUCUGACGCUGAGGAACGAAAGCUAGGGUAGCGAACGGGAUUAGAAACCCGCGUAGUCC
rnacentral:rRNA from 1 species